AUAUUCUGCCCCACGGGAAAGGAUGAGAAGCUUCGACCAGGGGUCGACUCGAGCGUAGCGAGAGAACGUUGCCGCAGGCAACGGCCCGAAGGGCGAGGCGCUUUAGCGCCGAGUUAUCCUUCCCCCACCGCUG
rnacentral:sRNA from 1 species